rnacentral:tRNA from 1 species
UCCCUGGUGGCUCAGAGGGUAAAGAAUCUGCCUGCGAUGCAGGAGACCCAGGUUUGAUCCCUGGGUUGGGAA